GACGAACCGUGCGAACGUUGUUCGGAUUCAUUGGGCGUAAAGGGUGCGUAGGCGGCGCGGUAAGUCGGGUGUGAAAUCUCGGAGCUUAACUCCGAAACUGCAUUCGAUACUGCCGUGCUUGAGGACUGGAGAGGAGACUGGAAUUUACGGUGUAGCGGUGAAAUGCGUAGAUAUCAGGAGGAACACCGGUGGCGAAGGCGGUUCUCUGGGCAUUACCUGACGCUGAGGAGCGAAAGCAUGGGGAGCGAACAGG
rnacentral:rRNA from 1 species